rnacentral:rRNA from 1 species
GAUGAACGCUGGCGGCGUGCUUAACACAUGCAAGUCGAACGGAAAGGCCUCUGCUUGCAGGGGUACUCGAGUGGCGAACGGGUGAGUAACACGUGGGUGAUCUGCCCUGCACUUCGGGAUAAGCCUGGGAAACUGGGUCUAAUACCGGAUAGGACAAUGGUUUGGAUGCUGUUGUGGAAAGUUUUUCGGUGUGGGAUGAGCUCGCGGUCUAUCAGCUUGUUGGUGGGGUAAUGGCCUACCAAGGCGUCGACGGGUAGCCGGCCUGAGAGGGUGUACGGCCACAUUGGGACUGAGAUACGGCCCAGACUCCUACGGGAGGCAGCAGUGGGGAAUAUUGCACAAUGGGCGCAAGCCUGAUGCAGCGACGCCGCGUGGGGGAUGACGGCCUUCGGGUUGUAAACUCCUUUCGCUAGGGACGAAGCGUUUUCGUGACGGUACCUGGAGAAGAAGCACCGGCUAACUACGUG